rnacentral:lncRNA from 1 species
ACACAUUACCUCGGGGUUCAACUUAUUUCUAUAUACUCGCACUCUUAUCCACUUAAUGAUUCAACCACAAUUCAUCGUUUUACUCUUGUUCUCAUGUAUACAUAUACAUCACAAUUGACCACUCAUUAUUCCACAAGUUUCCAACCUAGGCUAUUUCACACCUCACAUCAAGCCUACAAGUUUGUUCCCACAAAAUACACAUCAUCAAUCUCGAGCUACUAUUCUUACCACUACACUCCACAUCUAUGGUUCAAGCCUAUUGUCUAACAAC